rnacentral:rRNA from 1 species
AGUGAACGCUGGCGGUAGGCCUAACACAUGCAAGUCGAACGGCAGCACAGUAAGAGCUUGCUCUUACGGGUGGCGAGUGGCGGACGGGUGAGGAAUACAUCGGAAUCUACUUUUUCGUGGGGUAAAACGUGGGAAAACUAACGCAAAUCCCACAACGUCCCAAGGGGUAAAAGCAGGGCAUUUUCGACCCUUGCCCGAUGGAAUGACCCGAUGUCGGAUUAGCUAGUUGGCGGGGUAAAGGCCCACCAAGGCGACGAUCCGUAGCUGGUCUGAGAGGAUGAUCAGCCACACUGGAACUGAGACACGGUCCAGACUCCUACGGGAGGCAGCAGUGGGGAAUAUUGGACAAUGGGCGCAAGCCUGAUCCAGCCAUACCGCGUGGGUGAAGAAGGCCUUCGGGUUGUAAAGCACUUUUGUUGGGAAAGAAAAGCAGCAGGUUAAUACCCCGCUGUUCUGACGUUACCCAAAGAAUAAGCACCGGCUAACUUCGUG